AUCGAACGCUGGCGGCAUGCCUAAUACAUGCAAGUCGAGCGGAGCGGCGGACGGGUGAGUAAUGCCUAGGAAUUUGCCUGGUAGUGGGGGAUAACGUCCGGAAACGGGCCCUAAUACCGCAUACUAUCAGAUGAGCCUAGGUCGGAUGAGCUAGUUGGUGGGGUAAAGGCCUACCAAGGCGACGAUCCGUAACUGGUCUGAGAGGAUGAUCAGUCACACUGGAACUGAGACACGGCCCAGACUCCUAGGGGAGGCAGCAGUGGGGAAUAUUGGACAAUGGGCGAAAGCCUGAUCGAGACAUGCCGCGUGAGUGAAGAAGGUUUUCGGAUUGUAAAGCUCUUUAAGUUGGGAGGCGGUACCAAAACAGAAAGCAACGGCUAACUACGUGCCAGCAGCCGCGGUAAUAC
rnacentral:rRNA from 1 species